CUGCGAGUGAAGCGGGAAAAGCUCAAAUUUUGAAUCUGGCGGUCUUCUUGGUCGUCCGAGUUGUAAUCUAGAGAAGCGUCUUCCGCGCUGGACCGUGUACAAGUCUCCUGGAAGGGAGCGUCAUAGAGGGUGAGAAUCCCGUCUCUGACACGGACCGCCAGUGCUAUGUGAUGCGCUCUCGACGAGUCGAGUUGUUUGGGAAUGCAGCUCAAAAUGGGUGGUAAAUUCCAUCUAAAGCUAAAUACAGGCGAGAGACCGAUAGCGAACAAGUACCGUGAGGGAAAGAUGAAAAGAACUUUGGAAAGAGAGUUAAACAGUACGUGAAAUUGCUGAAAGGGAAACGCUUGAUGUCAGUCGCGUCCGCCAGGGAUCAACCUUGCUUUUUCGCUGGGUGCAUUUCUUGGUCGGACGGGUCAGCAUCGGUUUCGAUCGUCGUAGAAUGGUCAAGGGAAUGUGGCACCUCUAGGGGUGUGUUAUAGCCCUCGAUCGUAUGCGUCGGUAGGGACUGAGGAA
rnacentral:rRNA from 1 species